rnacentral:rRNA from 1 species
AGUGAACGCUGGCGGCAGGCCUAACACAUGCAAGUCGAGCGGAAGCACGGUGAGAGCUCUCUUUUUCGGUUGGCGACUGGCGGGUGAGUCAGACGUAUAUCCCUAUCUUCUUUGUCUUGGGUCAUUACGUGGGCGCUCAUACGCUAUUAGCGCAUACGUCGUACGGGUGGGAUCAUCGGAUCUUCCGCUCUUUGGUGAUCCUAUGAGCCUAUGUCGGAUUAGCUAGUUGGCGGGGUAAAGGCACACCAAGGCGACGAUCCGUAGCUGGUCUGAGAGGAUGAUCAGCCACACUGGAACUGAGACACGGUCCAGACUCCUACGGGAGGCAGCAGUGGGGAAUAUUGGACAAUGGGCGAAAGCCUGAUCCAGCCAUGCCGCGUGAGUGAAGAAGGUCUUCGGAUUGUAAAGCACUUUUAGUGGGGAAGAAGAGCAGUAAGUUAAUACCUUGCUGUUUUGACGGUACCAAAAGAAUAAGCACCGGCUAACUUCGUG